rnacentral:rRNA from 1 species
UACGGAGGGUGCAAGCGUUAUCCGGAUUCACUGGGUUUAAAGGGUGCGUAGGUGGGCAGGUAAGUCAGUGGUGAAAUCCUGUAGCUUAACUACAGAACUGCCAUUGAUACUAUUUGUCUUGAAUACCCUGGAGGUGAGCGGAAUAUGUCAUGUAGCGGUGAAAUGCUUAGAUAUGACAUAGAACAUCUAUUGCGAAGGCAGCUCACUACGGGAAUAUUGACGCUGAGGCACGAAAGCGUGGGGAGCAAACAGG